rnacentral:tRNA from 1 species
GGAAGUUGAAGGGAUCUGGUGGUCCUCGCGGUCUUCAAAACCGUAGGUCGUGGUAACCCGCGGCGGCAGGUUCGAUUCCUGCCUCUUCCG